rnacentral:rRNA from 1 species
GAGCUCGAUGAGUAGGGCGGGACACGUGGUAUCCUGUCUGAAUAUGGGGGGCCCAUCCUCCAAGGCUAAAUACUCCUGACUGACCGAUAGUGAACCAGUACCGUGAGGGAAAGGCGAAAAGAACCCCGGCGAGGGGAGUGAAAAAGAACCUGAAACCGUGUACGUACAAGCAGUGGGAGCACGCUUAGGCGUGUGACUGCGUACCUUUUGUAUAAUGGGUCAGCGACUUAUAUUCUGUAGCAAGGUUAACCGAAUAGGGGAGCCGAAGGGAAACCGAGUCUUAACUGGGCGUUAAGUUGCAGGGUAUAGACCCGAAACCCGGUGAUCUAGCCAUGGGCAGGUUGAAGGUUGGGUAACACUAACUGGAGGACCGAACCGACUAAUGUUGAAAAAUUAGCGGAUGACUUGUGGCUGGGGGUGAAAGGCCAAUCAAACCGGGAGAUAGCUGGUUCUCCCCGAAAGCUAUUUAGGUAGCGCCUCGUGAAUUCAUCUCCGGGGGUAGAGCACUGUUUCGGCAAGGGGGUCAUCCCGACUUACCAACCCGAUGCAAACUGCGAAUACCGGAGAAUGUUAUCACGGGAGACACACGGCGGGUGCUAACGUCCGUCGUGAAGAGGGAAACAACCCAGACCGCCAGCUAAGGUCCCAAAGUCAUGGUUAAGUGGGAAACGAUGUGGGAAGGCCCAGACAGCCAGGAUGUUGGCUUAGAAGCAGCCAUCAUUUAAAGAAAGCGUAAUAGCUCACUGGUCGAGUCGGCCUGCGCGGAAGAUGUAACGGGGCUAAACCAUGCACCGAAGCUGCGGCAGCGACGCUUAUGCGUUGUUGGGUAGGGGAGCGUUCUGUAAGCCUGCGAAGGUGUGCUGUGAGGCAUGCUGGAGGUAUCAGAAGUGCGAAUGCUGACAUAAGUAACGAUAAAGCGGGUGAAAAGCCCGCUCGCCGGAAGACCAAGGGUUCCUGUCCAACGUUAAUCGGGGCAGGGUGAGUCGACCCCUAAGGCGAGGCCGAAAGGCGUAGUCGAUGGGAAACAGGUUAAUAUUCCUGUACUUGGUGUUACUGCGAAGGGGGGACGGAGAAGGCUAUGUUGGCCGGGCGACGGUUGUCCCGGUUUAAGCGUGUAGGCUGGUUUUCCAGGCAAAUCCGGAAAAUCAAGGCUGAGGCGUGAUGACGAGGCACUACGGUGCUGAAGCAACAAAUGCCCUGCUUCCAGGAAAAGCCUCUAAGCAUCAGGUAACAUCAAAUCGUACCCCAAACCGACACAGGUGGUCAGGUAGAGAAUACCAAGGCGCUUGAGAGAACUCGGGUGAAGGAACUAGGCAAAAUGGUGCCGUAACUUCGGGAGAAGGCACGCUGAUAUGUAGGUGAAGUCCCUUGCGGAUGGAGCUGAAAUCAGUCGAAGAUACCAGCUGGCUGCAACUGUUUAUUAAAAACACAGCACUGUGCAAACACGAAAGUGGACGUAUACGGUGUGACGCCUGCCCGGUGCCGGAAGGUUAAUUGAUGGGGUCAGCGCAAGCGAAGCUCUUGAUCGAAGCCCCGGUAAACGGCGGCCGUAACUAUAACGGUCCUAAGGUAGCGAAAUUCCUUGUCGGGUAAGUUCCGACCUGCACGAAUGGCGUAAUGAUGGCCAGGCUGUCUCCACCCGAGACUCAGUGAAAUUGAACUCGCUGUGAAGAUGCAGUGUACCCGCGGCAAGACGGAAAGACCCCGUGAACCUUUACUAUAGCUUGACACUGAACAUUGAGCCUUGAUGUGUAGGAUAGGUGGGAGGCUUUGAAGUG